rnacentral:lncRNA from 1 species
UGAAAAUCUGGGAAAAUUACACAUAAAACUACACUGCAAUUACAAUAAAAAAUCACCCUAGAAAUUCAGGGUUAAUUACACUAUACAAACUGGGAGAAAUUACCCCUGUAAGACUACAAAACUGAUAUUACACUGGAAGUCUGUGACGACACUGAAAAAGUCUGAUCAAACAAUUGACAACACUGAAAAGGGCCGAGCCAAAAGUACACAGAAAUUAAACUUAAAAUUCAUUCCUGCUAGAAGAAAAACAAACACGGUACAAAGGAGAACUACACCUCCAACAACAAAUCAGGAGCCUAAUUCAUUUGAAUACAAAAAAAGAGCUUGACACAAGCACCUAGCAUCUACCAGUACAUGAGCAAGGGCAAGAGCAGGAAAACACGCAGAAGCAUCAGGGAGCAUCCCGACACGAGCAGGAACGAGCUAGACAUCUACCAGUACAUCUACAACAUCCCGCAUGCUACAACUACAGACAUCCGCCAAGCUACAUCUACAGAAUCCCCAUCAGCUACAGGAACAUGAGCAGCUACAAGUACAUGAGCACCUACAGAUCGCCCUCUCACCUACAGGAACAUGAGCACCUACAGGAACAUCUACAGAAACAUCUACAGAAUCCCUCGCGCCUACAGGAACACGAGUACCUACAGGAACAUCUACAGAUCGCCCUCUCAUCUACAUGAACAGCUACAUCUCCACAGACAAAAGGGGGACAAAGCCGCUGCAUCUACAAACUACAACAGUACAAACAGCAGCGCGCGCGGGACGACCACAACAACCAGAAGCCUAGCAAUCUAGCGGCUGCACCACAUGCGCGAGAGGGCGACAUGAACUGACCUAGAUCUGGGACGAACAAGAGCAGAACAACACAAGCGCGCGACGGGGAGAGAGAGAGAGAGGAACAACCAACCGCGACACCGGGGAGCGAAGGGGAAGGGGAGAGAAAUCAAGCUCGAGUGGGGGAAGGUCUCGAAAUCGCCAUGGACGGGGAGAAUCGCCUCCUGCUCCGCCGCUCGAGCUCCCCCUCAGCCUUAUCCAAACAGAGAGGACGAAAUGAAAAGGGAGGAAAGGCACGCUACCCCAAAUUCAAACGAGACAAAAAUCAGAGCCGGCCGGGCGCGGCGAUAACGGGCACAGAGAAAACCGCACAACACAAAAAAACCGGACCCGGCAACAAGACCAGCACGAAUCUCCGCGCAAGAACGGACGGACAACGACUUGAAUGUUGGCGAAUUGCAAAACAGUCAGCUGUAAAAUAGCAAAACCGUAAAACAAAGAUAUCAAUCUAAUUUAGAAAGGAAGGAAUACACUUGAUACUGAAUAGAAAUCUAACUCACAAUAGAAAUCUAUUUAAAAUCAGAGUAGUUAUCAGGUAAGCAAUACAUAAGGUGGAGCUGUGGGCUGAUAUAGGAAGGAAUAUACUUGAGACCGAAUAAUUUAGAAACAGAGUAGUUAUUGGGUAAGCAGUACAGAAGUGAGCUGUGGGCUAAUUUGGUACGAGGCGAAUACAGGAGGGGUAGUGAAUUAGGAAAGUUCAUAGGUAGUAGACAGCAGCAUGGUUUCAUUUGCUGGUGAACACAAAAAAUACAAGGUCUG